rnacentral:rRNA from 1 species
GAUGAACGCUGGCGGCGUGCCUAACACAUGCAAGUCGAACGGGGUAUAUCCGCCGAUGAAGCUUCGGCCGAAUCAUGGGUAUACUUAGUGGCGAACGGGUGAGUAACGCGUGGGCAACCUGCCCCGUACCGGGGGAUAGCAGUCGGAAACGACUGAUAAUACCGCAUAAGCGCACGGUCUCGCAUGAGGCAGUGUGAAAAACUCCGGUGGUACGGGAUGGGCCCGCGUCUGAUUAGCCAGUUGGCGGGGUAACGGCCCACCAAAGCGACGAUGGGUAGGGGUUCUGAGAGGAAGGUCCCCCACAUUGGAACUGAGACACGGUCCAGACUCC